GUCCACGCCCUAAACGAUGUCGACUAGUCGUUCGGAGCAGCAGUGCACUGAGUGACGUAGCUAACGCGUGAAGUCGACCGCCUGGGGAGUACGGCCGCAAGGUUAAAACUCAAAGGAAUUGACGGGGACCCGCACAAGCGGUGGAUGAUGUGGAUUAAUUCGAUGCAACGCGAAAAACCUUACCUACCCUUGACAUGUCUGGAACCCUGGUGAGAGCCGGGGGUGCCUUCGGGAGCCAGAACACAGGUGCUGCAUGGCUGUCGU
rnacentral:rRNA from 1 species